rfam:Colletotrichum orbiculare MAFF 240422 contig01187, whole genome shotgun sequence.
GGCCUGCUGGCGAAAUGGCAUCGCGUCAGAUUUCGGCUCUCUAGUCAUUCUCUGAAGAUUGCAGGUUCGAUCCCUGCGUAGGUCG